UACGUAGGGUGCGAGCGUUGUCCGGAAUUAUUGGGCGUAAAGGGCUCGUAGGCGGUCUGUCGCGUCGGGAGUGAAAACUCAGGGCUUAACCCUGAGCCUGCUUCCGAUACGGGCAGACUAGAGGUAUGCAGGGGGAGAACGGAAUUCCUGGUGUAGCGGUGGAAUGCGCAGAUAUCAGGAGGAACACCGGUGGCGAAGGCGGUUCUCUGGGCAUUACUUGACGCUGAGGAGCGAAAGUGUGGGGAGCGAACAGG
rnacentral:rRNA from 1 species